CCCCUAGAUGUUCUGGGCCGCACGCGCGCUACACUGAACAGUUCAACAAGUCUUAACCUUGGCCGAUAGGUCUGGGUAAUCUUUGAACGCUGUUCGUGAUUGGGAUAGACCUUUGCAAUUAUGGGUCUUCAACGAGGAAUUCCUAGUAAACGCAAGUCAUCAGCUUGCAUUGAUUACGUCCCUGCCCUUUGUACACACCGCCCGUCGCACCUACCGAUUCAAUGGUCCGGUGAAAUCUCGGGACGGCGGCUUGGUCGCUUGCGUCCGACUGCUGAAACUUGAUUAAACCAUAUCAUUUAGAGGAAGGUGAAGUCGUAACA
rnacentral:rRNA from 1 species